GCAUUCACAAGACAUGCCACUUAGAAAUGCAAGAAUCAAAGAGAAAAUAACUUGUAAAAUAAUAAAAAAAAAAAGCAUGAUCCCUUAAUGAUUUAGAAGAUCACGAAAAUGCAAACAAGACGAGGAUGGAGGGAGGUGUACACAUGAAAUGGAUGGUCGCUUUGCAUACUCCAGCUUCAUCUUUAUCUUAUUUCCACUGCUUCAGGUUUAGGUCAUUAUGCCCAAGCAAAGCAUAAAUCAUAUCAUAUUUAUUUUCAAUUUAGUCAUAAACAUCAGUUAGACAAAGCAUUUCAGUUAGGAAAUUUAAAAAUGACUGAUUGUGAUUAAUGAACUGUGGCUCACUAUGUGCUCAAAAGUUUGAAAAUGUGCACUCCGUGCAACAUACGUAUUAUCCCCAUUUCAUUGGUGCCACGAGGAAGGGGGGUCCUAUACAGUAGCACUCUGGCUUUAGUCUGCUUGUUUUUCUACCCCUUUCAGGUGGCAGUUGCACUGAUCUUCUCAACAUCGCCCCCUGGCUCGCACGACUGGCAGAGCAGCAAGGAUGGCUCGUUCUCCCUAGAUGGCAGUUGCACUGAUCUUCUCAACAUUAUCCCCUGGCUGGUAUGACUGGCAGAGCAGCAAGGAUGGCUCGUUUUCCCUAGGUUGCGUGAUGCUGCGCACGGAGUGAUGAUUUCAACUACCCAACGAGGCAUGGGGAUCGUAUUUUUCUUUCAGCAGUGUUGAGAGUCUUUAUCUGGGUGGUGUUGUACCUGAAUGAGUUAAUAAAUGUUACGAGUCAGA